UUUUUCAGUUGAAUCUACUUUUUGUAUGCUCAUUAGGUCCUACCUCUAUCAAGCAAAUACAUACGUGCUGAUUUUUCUACAUGUUAACCAAAUGCAGAGUUCUUUGAUGCAAUGCGCUCUAAUGGUAUCAUUCCCAAACUCAGUCAGGCUCUGCAGAUAGAGAUGGAGCUGAUUGGGAAAGCCAAUGAGUGUCAGACCCAAAUACAGGGUUUACAUUUGAUGAUGCGGUUCAAACUAUAAGAGACACAUCUUCGGGUCGUCCAAAACUUCUUAACGACUUGCCUCGAAGGACACAACCAAGAGAAGGGAACAAAAUCUCACCAAGGAAUGAAGAAGGAGAAGGAGAAGGAGAAGGGGAAGGAGAACAAGAAGAUUGCCUC